UGUGAUGCCCGGAGCCAAUCGGCCGCCGCGGCUCCGCCCGCUCCAGUCACCGGCACCGGGGGGCGGGCAGGGACGGAGAGAGGCAGUGAGGGAGGGAUGGAAUCGGCCCGGCCCGGGCGCCGCCGCCCACCCCGAGCACUGGAUACCUUUAAUCCCGUAUUUAUGGAUGAAAUCCUUUAAUCCUGUUUAUUCCAACACCCUCUGUUGCUCCCAGCCACCACAAGUCAGAACGUUUAACUCCUCCUUGUUCCCGGAGCUCUUUGCCUCAACAGCCACUGCGGUAGCUGCCGGGGAUCUGCUUUUGCUUUUUUGGCUAAAUCUGAGAGACAAGCUCUUAACUUUUAGAACGGACCCUCCGGAGAAGUCAGGGCUGCCAGCUGGGGGACAUUUUCACUGCCCCCACAGCGAGGAAACCCUGGACUCUGCUGCUAAUGUGUUUUUUUGCCUUAGUCAUCCAAGCUGUCUCAGUUCGAAACCAACCCACCAACUAGGCAAGUCUGCAGCAAUAACAUCUGCUGGCUUCAGGAGAUGACAAGAGGGCUGGCAACAGCCACGCAUGGCACAGAGGAGGGCUAGCAAUAGCCAAAGGGUGACUCUCUGGAAGAAACACGCAUCUUACCCCGGGGUUUGGUGUCUGAAGGGCUUUCUCUCACUGCAGCAGAGCCAGAAGGCACCCUCAGAGGAAGCACUGGUGAGCUAGGAGCCCCAAGAACUUGCUCUUCAGGGAAGUGCAUCCCAUCCUGCUGCCUCACAGUAACAGCCAGCACCCUGCCGUGGGCAUGGCCACCGAGUUUCUGCAAGCCCCGGGGACCAGCAGAAGGAGAAGUUCCAACCUGUAGGUUUCUUUCCCUUGCAUGUGCUGAGACUGUGAUAAAAGAGGACUGUUCCCAGCCUCGGUUUGGGUAAUUUGCAGAUUAAA